UAACAAGGAUUCCCCUAGUAACUGCGAGUGAAGCGGGAAAAGCUCAAAUUUAAAAUCUGGCGGUCUUCGGCCGUCCGAGUUGUAGUCUGGAGAAGCGUCUUCCGCGUCGGACCGUGUACAAGUCUCUUGGAACAGAGCGUCAUAGAGGGUGAGAAUCCCGUCUUUGACACGGACUACCGAUGCUUUGUGAUGCGCUCUCAAAGAGUCGAGUUGUUUGGGAAUGCAGCUCAAAAUGGGUGGUAAAUUCCAUCUAAAGCUAAAUAUUGGCGAGAGACCGAUAGCGAACAAGUACCGUGAGGGAAAGAUGAAAAGCACUUUGGAAAGAGAGUUAAACAGUACGUGAAAUUGCUGAAAGGGAAACGAUUGAAGUCAGUCGCGUCGUUCAGAACUCAACCUUGCCUUCGGGCUCGGUGCACUUUCUGUUUGACGGGCCAGCAUCAGUUUUGACUGUCGGAAAAAGGUCUUCGGAAUGUGGCACCUCCGGGUGUGUUAUAGCCGUUGGUCGUAUACGACGGUUGGGACUGAGGACCGCAGCACGCCUUUUGGCCGGGGUUCGCCCACGUACUGGCCUUAGGAUGCUGGGCGUAAUGGCUUUAAACGAC
rnacentral:rRNA from 1 species